UACGAAGGGGGCUAGCGUUGCUCGGAAUCACUGGGCGUAAAGCGCACGUAGGCGGAUCUUUAAGUCAGGGGUGAAAAUCCCAAGGCUCAACCUUGGAACUGCCUUUGAUACUGGGGAUCUCGAGUCCGGAAGAGGUUGGUGGAACUGCGAGUGUAGAGGUGAAAUUCGUAGAUAUUCGCAAGAACACCAGUGGCGAAGGCGGCCAACUGGUCCGGUACUGACGCUGAGGUGCGAAA
rnacentral:rRNA from 1 species